rnacentral:lncRNA from 1 species
GCAGAGAGGAGUGGAGGAAGAGAGGAGUGGAGGCAGAGAGGAGUGGAGGCAGAGAGGUGUGGAGGAAGAGAGGAGUGGAGGCAGAGAGGAGUGGAGGAAGAGAGGAGUGGAGGAAGAGAGGAGUGGAGGCAGAGAGGAGUGGAGGAAGAGAGGAGUGGAGGCAGAGAGGAGUGGAGGAAGAGAGGAGUGGAGGAAGAGAGGAGUGGAGUUAGAGAGGAGUGGAGGCAGAGAUGAGUGGAGGAAGAGAGGAGUGGAGGAAGAGAGGAGUGGAGGCAGAGAGGUGUGGAGGCAGAGAGGAGUGGAGGAAGGGCGGAGUGGAGGCAGAGAGGAGUGGAGGAAGGGAGGAGUGGAGGCAGAGAGGAGUGGAGGAAGAGAGGAGUGGAGGCAGAGAGGAGUGGAGGAAGAGAGGAGUGGAGGAAGGGCGGAGUGGAGGCAGAGAGGAGUGGAGGCAGAGAGGGGUGACAUGUGUCUGGGAAAAGGAGUAAUACACACAUUGAGGUGAUCAGUGAGGUGUGUAGUGGGAAAAGGGGUAAUACACACAUUGAGGUGAUCAGUGAGGUGUGUAGUGGGAAAAGGGGUAAUACACACAUUGAGGUGAUCAGUGAGGUGUGUAGUGGGAAAAGGGGUAAUACACACAUUGAGGUGAUCAGUGAGGUGUGUAGUGGGAAAAGGGGUAAUACACACAUUGAGGUGAUCAGUGAGGUGUGUAGUGGGAUAGAGAGAGGAGCUGUGACAUGGUAAAUACCUUCUGGAAAACUGAGAGACUCUAAAGGUUCCGUUCUGCAAGGCUCAGGACAGGUAGUGAUGGAGGGGGAACAGUCAGACCAGGGCUUGAACCGGAGACCCUGGGUUACAGGGCAGGCAUUCUGCCAUAAAGGUCCAGACCUCUUGGCAGAGGGCGUAGUGUGCUCACAUACAAGGAGACAACCCAACAUAGACCAGGGGCUGAUACAGUGGAUUGAUUCAUCAGUGUCAAACCAAACGUGUGGCUUAGUUAGAAAUGGACUCUUUGGUUCAUUUUCCAAAUACAGGUGUCCUAUGUAUGCACACACACACACAUUCAUCAAC